CGUGUGUGGACGGGUGCGGCUCUCGGCUCGCCACGGCGGAAGACGGGAUGUCGCUCCCCCGUCGCGCCGGCGCGGGCGACACGAGCGCCUUCUUCGUGGCGACGCUGGUGUUGUGGGCCGUGUCGGUGGGGUUCGAGAUCGGCGCCCUGGGCCGCCGCGAGCUGCUGACCGCGGCCGCCUGCUUCGCCUUCUUCCAAACCCGCUCUUCGUCAACACUGCCGUCUCGCUCCUCCACUCCUCCCUCACCCUCCGCCUCAGUCAGUUAUCUUUGUUCUGUUGUGCCAAUGGUGUACCAAGGGCCUUGAGAACAUGUUUCAGCAUGAAUAAUUAGUUGAUAACAGUUGGAUACUUGGAUUGCAGCAUAUUCUGCUAAGUGCUUUUCAUGUGGCUACUUUGCUUAUGACCAAUUGGAUAUGAUCCGCUACCAGCUAUACAGUGGACGGAUAUUCCUGGAAUUCUCAUGCAUCACCUUAUUCUGCUCAUUUGCUUUACGCCGGCUCUGUAUCGGAAUGAGACAAUCAACUACCUGAUUCACACUCUUCUGUGCGAGACUUGCUUCUGUUUGGCACUUGGCAGCUAAAUGGAGAAAGGAAUAUCCGACGAAGAGGAGAGGAGGGGCUAGCCGGCUAGCGUGUGGACGGGUGCGGCUCUCGGCUCGCCAUGACGGAAGACGGGAUGCCGCCCCGUCGCGCCGGCGCGGGCGACAUGAGCACCUUCUUCCGCUGCGACGCUAGUGCUGUGGGCCGUGUCGGUGGGGUUUGAGAUCGGCGUGCGGGGCCGCCGUGGCCGCCGGCUUCGCCUUCUUCCAGGCCGCCAACACGGCCGUCCGCGCCACUCUUCGUGAACACUGCCUUCCCGCUUCUCCACUCCCCCCUCACUUCGGCCUCAGUUAUCUUUAGGCGUACAAGGGCCAUGAGAAAUGUUUCAGCAUGAAGAAUUAGUUGGUAGCAGUUGGAUUGGAGCAUAUUCUGCUCUGUGCUUUUCGUGUGGCCACGUUGCUUAUGGCCAAUUGGAUAUGCUCCGCUACCGACUAUACAGUGGAUAGAUUCCUGGAAUUCUGCUGCAUCACCUUAUUCUGCUCAUUUGCUUUACGCUAGCUCUGUAUCGGAAUGUGACAAUCAACUACUUAAUUCUCACUCUUCUAUGCGAGGGUCCAGGGAAUUUGCCUUUCUUGAUAGUGAAAUGUAAAUUUUGGCGAGGCUAUAGUCACACCAAUGUAAAUCAGAAGACACAGAGGUAUGUUUCAAGUGUUAUUAGCCUCUAGACUGUGAGUAUCUGCAGCAUGGAUGGUCUGGGUACAUUGUACCAGGGAAAUACUAAAUGCCGGCAAAAACAGGAGUGCAUUCUACUCUCACAAUAUUUUUCUCCAGUACUAAAUGGCAUAAACAUGUGAGUACAUUGUACCAUGGAAAAACUAAAAUGCCAGCUAAAAAUGUAGGUCUCGCCGGGAUUCGAACCCAGGUCGCCAGAUUCAAAGUCUGGAGUGCUAACCACUACACUACGAAACCAUUUGUUGAGUGUGAUCCACUGAUGAUUAUAUAUCUUUCAUUUGGCUUACAGACAAUAUUGUUUCUUUACAUUCUUAUUAAAUGUCCUACUGUCAUUUUGGACUUGCUUCUGGUUGCCACUUGGCAGCUAAAUGGCGCAAGGAAUAUCCGAUGAAUGACUUAUUUACUUUUUUCUUUUCAUUUUAUUUUAGCCAAAGGCUCCAUUGCGUGGGUACGAUCUUUUUGUCUCAUUGGGUUGCUAUUAGGAUUUACUAGGUGUUAGCAUGCUAAUUUGGAAAAAAGUAAUGUGGUUGAUCCAUUCAGUAUGACUUUGAAGGAUUAUUGUGUUGAUGGGCCAGCUGUGCUUUCAACCACUCGCUAGUCACACCACACUGUAAGUGUGACGACCUGCGGGCGUCCCGUGUGACGCCGUAUCCACCCACAUAAUUUAUGUUGGAUUAAGUAGGCUGCCCACAUAGCUUAGGCGGGACUACGCGGGCUGCCGCAUACCCACUUACUCCACAGCGAUGUGAGCAGCAGUGGCAAGCUAGUCGCAGUACAGAACAGUGUCCAUAGGCUAUAACUUGAGUAGUACAAAGAUGCACCGCCGGUGAGCUCUCCUGCCUGCUAUGACUUAUACUCUGCCGGUCCUAACUUUCCUCUGACAGACUCCAACUAUCACCAGGACUACUUAUCCAUGUACUAAUGGUAGAUGACUUAUGCACUAGGAUUUUAACUGAACAAAUCUAUUCUGCAGGAUGAACAUGGGAAGCCCUAAUUGAAUAGUGAGGAAUAACAUGGGAAUAAUUACUGCUAUACUGUCUGCCUUCAGUUCUAGUCCAUGCCGUGAUUUCAUACUGACAGACACAACUUUGUUUCGAGGAUACAACUCACAUCUGACAGGAUUGAUCCUUUUCUUCUAUUCACGCUCUCAUAUGUGGAAGUAGACGGCGGCCCAGUGGAGGCCACGGCGGAGGUAAUGCGGCGCAGGCCAUGGCAGAGGUAGACGCCAGCGCUGCAGCAGCCAUGGCAGCGCUGGAUGGCAACAUUGCGACGGCCAGCACGGAGGUAGAAGGCGGCACUGCGGUAGCCAUGGUGGAGCAUUGGAGCUGGACCGAGGCGUUGCGGUCAGAGACAACGCACGAGAAUCUCUGUCAGGUGGUAGGCCUAACGUCUAUGAUCAAGGAUGCCUAAGUAACUUUCUAGAAGUCUUCUGCACCAAGGUACAGGCUUCCAAGCUCAAGUUCCAGACAUACAUACAAGAGGAAGUGAGAGCUCCACCAGCCAACCGUGUUGGGGAGGUAGAAGAUGAACCAGCUGGUGCUCGCCAUGCAAAAGUGGAAGAUGACCGGAUACUGGUGUUGAUAUUAUGAAGAUCUCAUUCUCACGUCGAUAUGAUUAUGAAGACAUUGAUAUUGAAACGGGGUGCAGUGGCAGCGAUGAGAUGGAAGGGACAGCCUUCGUUUCUAGACAAACAGCGAAUACAGAUGGACAGGUUCCGGCAGUGAAGAGAAGUGGUAUGGCACUAAGUCGGGGCUGAAGACUCUAGUAUGACACUAGAGUCAGGGCCAAAGAACUGCGAAAUUGCAUAUCUCAUUGUUAGACAUUACAAGUGCGUCAGCUUUAAAACACGUACUGUCAUCUCGUAGAGAAGCUCUCAGUAGUCAGUGUGUGAUCAGAUAGAUGCCGGUGAUAUUAUGUGGAUAGCUAAGCUGAUGAGCUGAUUAAUUCAGACCAAAUCUGGAGAGGCAUGAACAAAAUGCCUUUCAUGCUUCUUGAACUGAACUGCUUCCAUCAGUGCUUUCCACCAUUUUGUGUCUGCGGUUUUUUCUAUUAAUGAAUUGGUGCGGCACCCUACCUCACCUGGAUUUUUUUUGGUGUUAUUUGUUUCGGAUUGAUGCUACCGAUAUGGAUACCUAAGCUGAUGACUGAUUAGUUCAGGCCAAAUCUGGAGAGGCAGGAACUGAAUGCUGCUUUCAUGGGUGUUUUCCACCAAUUUGUUCAUGGAUGUCUCAUUUGGGUUUCUUUUUGCUAGUCUUAUGAUGAUGUUGGUAUGAUUCUUUUUGUAACUCGAUGAUGUGGAAUACU